rnacentral:lncRNA from 1 species
CAGCACUUUGGGACGGUGAGGUGAGGGAUCACUUGAGCUCAGAAGUUCAAGACCAGCCUGAGCAACAUAGUGAGACCUCAUCUCCAAAAAAAAAGAAGUUAUUCUUCACUGAACUGCAGAAGGGAAGGUUAACUGAUAGAGAAUAUGGAAGAAGUGUGAAAGAUGAAAAAAUAUGAGAUGAUUUCAGCAGCGUCAGACAAAAUAUAAGAGAAACUGCCACUACACAAUAUUACGCAUUUCAACCGAAUUUUACAAAUUUCCUCAACUGGGUCUAAAUUAAGCCCCCCUCGCCCCCAAGAAAACCUCUAAAAUAACUGCCAUUCAAUCUCACAAGAACAGCCUGAUUUUUAAAAUACAUUUCCAUUGUAUCUACUUAACAUAGAAAAGAAAAAAUGUCUUACUAGAAAUGAAGUAUCAGCAAAAAGUGCACUUAGAUAUGAUCCUUGCAGAAAAUUCUUGUUCUUUUUUCACAAAAUGCAAUUCCUUAAAAAAGAAAAAAAUUUGAGAUGCAUUAUUGUUCUUGACUCCAAAGCUGAAUUAAAUAUACAUUAUACAAAAUUCUAGCACUCAACACCAUUCCUAGCAGAAAGCUCCACAAAUACUGUUAAAUGAAAAUUAAAUUUUAAAAAGUCAUUUAUUUGGAAUAAAACAAAACGUCAGCCAACUGAGUAUCUCUACUAUUACGAAUCCUUUUUCUUCAGGAAGUAUUACUCAAAUGUUCAGUAAUAUUCUUUGCAUCGCGAGAUUCAAAAAUUGGUUUCCUAGGUCCCAUUUUCCUAUCCUCUGUAUCAUGUUAUGCUUUAUAUUUAUCUGUACUGUGCGUAUAGCCUAUUGAACUUACUAGUUUCAAUAAACUAAACUUGUUUUAAAU